rnacentral:tRNA from 1 species
UGGGGGAUCGUCUAGUGGUAGGACACCGCACUCUGGAUGCGGUAACUGGGGUUCGAGUCCCUGUCCCCCAG